rnacentral:rRNA from 1 species
AUUGAACGCUGGCGGCCGGCCUAACACAUGCAAGUCGAACGAGUGGCGGACGGGUGAGAAAUGUCUGGGAAACUGCCUGAUGGAGGGGGAUAACUACGGGAAAAGGUAGCUAAUACCGCAUCCCAUCGGAUGGGCCCAGCUGGUAUUAGCUAGUAGGUGGGGGAAAGGCUCACCUAGGCGAAGAUCCCUAGCUGGUCUGAGAGGAUGAACAGCCACACUGUAACGUAGACACGGUCCACAUUCCUACGGGACGCAGCAGUUGGGAAUAUUGCACAAUGUGCGCAAGCCUGAUGCAGCCAUGCCGCGUGUAUGAAGAAGGCCUUCGGGUUGUAAAGUACUUUCAGCGGUGAGGCGUUACCCGCAGAAGAAGCACCGGCUAACUCCGUGCCAGCAGCCGCGGUAAUUC